rnacentral:rRNA from 1 species
CCAGACCAGAAAAAAAAACACCAGACCCUUCGACCCCGACCUGUUCGAUCCCCAAUCUAACCUCUCUCUCUCUCUCUCCAUCUCACCACCCACACACCCUAACCCUAACCCGACCGCGCCGCCGCUCCCAACCUGCGCGCCUCCGCCCCAAACCACCCGCCGGUCCCCCGCGCCACCACAUCUCGGACCCCGGCCUCCCUUCCCUUAGUCCGCAGUAGCAACAGCGCCGUCUGCGACGGAGCAGCGCCGUCCGCCGCCGAGGAACAGCAGCGCUGUCCGCCACCAAGGAUCCGCCGCGCGCCGGGAACAGCAGCACCAUACGCCGGAGGAUCCGCCGCACCGACUGCUGUUGAGGAGGAGCCCGCCGUUCUUCUUCCUCCACCGGCGACCCCUGCCCCGGCCCCGCCUCUAGAUUUCAACAAGAAUUUGCAGCAGGAUCCCUUGCCUGUGCUCUCCGCUUGUCCUCACUCCUUAGACCUUCCCUUUGCUUAUCACCAUACAUUUUAUUCAGAGUGGUGUCAAGAUGCAUCUCCUCUGCCAAGAUGAUGGGCAGAGGGCCUAAGCUCUAGGGUCAAAUGGCGGGAAGUAUCAAGUCAAAGAUAUUAUGGCUUUUGUACAUCUUCUAUUUUCUUUAAAUGGAAGUUGGUGUUGGUUUGGUGAUCGAAGACUUGGGCUCUUCCAUAGUGUUUUGUAGAGUGAUCGAACACUUAAGUCUCUUAUGAACUAGGACCAUAAUUUGUAACAUGCCACAACUUGUAUGUUGAGUUGAGUAUUUGUUUCAAUGGUUGUAACAAGGAAAACUGAUCUUCUAUAUAUGUUGAAUAAAUGCUUUGGUCAAUGGCAUUUUGUGAUGAAUAGAAGAGUGUAAUUGUUGGUAUAUCUACUGCAAAGUGAACAUGA